rnacentral:rRNA from 1 species
ACGCUCGACACCUACGGGAGGCAGCAGUGGGGAAUAUUGCACAAUGGGGGAAACCCUGAUGCAGCGACGCCGCGUGAGCGAAGAAGUAUUUCGGUAUGUAAAGCUCUAUCAGCAGGGAAGAAACUGACGGUACCUGACUAAGAAGCACCGGCUAAAUACGUGCCAGCAGCCCGGUAAUCUGAGCGGGCUGGCAAGGC